UCGCGAAUACUUUACAAUGCGGGAAACCGUGAUAAGGGGACACCGAGUGCCAGCAUCAUAUGCUGGCUGUCCGGGUGUGUAAAAUACACCCGUUAGCAAGGGCCGGGCAAGACCGGUGCCAGCCGCCGCGGUAACACCGGCGGCCCGAGUGGUGAUCGUGAUUAUUGGGUCUAAAGGGUCCGUAGCCGGUUUGGUCAGUCCUCCGGGAAAUCUGAUGGCUCAACCAUUAGGCUUUCGGGGGAUACUGCCAGGCUUGGAACCGGGAGAGGUAAGAGGUACUACAGGGGUAGGAGUGAAAUCUUGUAAUCCCUGUGGGACCACCUGUGGCGAAGGCGUCUUACCAGAACAGGUCCGGCGGUGAGGGACGAAAGCUAGGGGCACGAACCG
rnacentral:rRNA from 1 species